rnacentral:rRNA from 1 species
UACGAAGGGGGCGAGCGUUGUUCGGAAUCACUGGGCGUAAAGGGCGCGUAGGCGGCCCUCUUAGUCGCGUGUGAAAGCCCCGGGCUCAACCUGGGAACGGCGCGCGAAACGGGAGGGCUGGAGUUCGGGAGAGGAGAGUGGAAUUCCCAGUGUAGAGGUGAAAUGCGUAGAUAUUGGGAAGAACACCUGAGGCGAAGGCGGGUUGCUGGGCUGAUACUGACGCGUGAGGCG